rnacentral:rRNA from 1 species
AAAGCGUGCGCAGGCGGUUUUGUAAGUCUGAUGUGAAAUCCCCGGGCUCAACCUGGGAAUUGCAUUGGAGACUGCAAGGCUAGAAUCUGGCAGAGGGGGGUAGAAUUCCACGUGUAGCAGUGAAAUGCGUAGAUAUGUGGAGGAACACCGAUGGCGAAGGCAGCCCCCUGGGUCAAGAUUGACGCUCAUGCACGAAAGCGUGGGGAGCAAACAGGAUUAGAUACCCCUGU